AAUCAACGCUGGCGGCAUGCCUAACACAUGCAAGUCGAACGAGAAAGUGGAGCAAUCCAUGAGUAAAGUGGCGCACGGGUGAGUAACACGUGACUAACCUACCUUCGAGUGGGGAAUAACCCCGGGAAACCGGGGCUAAGACCGCAUAAUAUCGAGAGAUCAAAUGCGAAAGCAGCUUGAAGAGGGGGUCGCGGUUGAUUAGCUAGUUGGUGGGGUAAUGGCCCACCAAGGCGAUGAUCAAUAGCCGGCCUGAGAGGGCGCACGGCCACACUGGAACUGAAACACGGUCCAGACUCCUACGGGAGGCAGCAGUGGGGAAUUUUGCGCAAUGGGGGAAACCCUGACGCAGCAAUGCCGCGUGGAGGAUGAAGUCCUUUGGGAUGUAAACUCCUUUCGAUCGGGAAGAUAAUGACG
rnacentral:rRNA from 1 species